AUUGAACGCUCGCGGCAGGCCUAACACAUGCAAGUCGAGCGGAUGAGUGGAGCUUGCUCCAUGAUUCAGCGGCGGACGGGUGAGUAAUGCCUAGGAAUCUGCCUGGUAGUGGGGGACAACGUUUCGAAAGGAACGCUAAUACCGCAUACGUCCUACGGGAGAAAGUGGGGGAUCUUCGGACCUCACGCUAUCAGAUGAGCCUAGGUCGGAUUAGCUAGUUGGUGAGGUAAAGGCUCACCAAGGCGACGAUCCGUAACUGGUCUGAGAGGAUGAUCAGUCACACUGGAACUGAGACACGGUCCAGACUCCUACGGGAGGCAGCAGUGGGGAAUAUUGGACAAUGGGCGAAAGCCUGAUCCAGCCAUGCCGCGUGUGUGAAGAAGGUCUUCGGAUUGUAAAGCACUUUAAGUUGGGAGGAAGGGCAGUAAGUUAAUACCUUGCUGUUUUGACGUUACCAACAGAAUAAGCACCGGCUAACUUCGUG
rnacentral:rRNA from 1 species